rnacentral:tRNA from 1 species
GGCUCGGUAGCUUAGUUGGUAAAGCACUCGUCUAGCAUACAAGAGUCCUGGGUUCAAAUCCCAGUUAUUUUA